CUCCCGGCUUGCUGUGGAACACCUGCGCCCGCUGGGGGGGCCCGGCCGGUUCCUGUGCGCCCUCCAGCCCCAAGUGCCACCGCUCCGAGACACCCCGGCACGGCGGGGUUUGCUGCUUUUGAAACAAGUGCUCUUGCCGCUUAAUUUCGGUGAUGUUGUUUCGGUGAUCUAGGUCGGGCUGCCACGUACGAGACUGCGACUUUUCCCCCUCUGGAGACUCUGCAGCGUCAGGAGUGCUGCCUUUGUUGCUCCAUUCAACAGGCCGGCAAAGCCACGGUCCCCCAUUUCUGUGCUCGUCUGCAGCGUCUGCCGAGGGACAUCCGGAACGAAACAGGCCUGGAGAUGAAGUGUCUGUGCCUGUACACACAGAAUCGGUCUCUGCACCAGGACCCCGGCACAGCCAAGGGAGGGAAGGCACUGCUGGCUGCACCUCCCCUGCGACUGAGCAGAGAUUUGAAACAGCCAAAGCUGUCGAGCGGCAACAAAAGUCUCACUGUGUGUGCUAGAAAGCUUUCUGUACUAAAUGCACACCGAACCAGCCUACUUGUCAUGUUCCUUCUAAUGCAGCAUUAGCAUUAGUGUCAAAGCUUGUUAAUGCGAUACAGAAAUUAUGCAGUGAAUAUAUACUUCCCAAGCUCAGUUUGGGUGUGUUGCUAUACUGAAAACGUGGGAGGGAACAGCGGCUGUCAGUUCUCCUGCUGCUGCUGUUGAACACAAUCCCUGCAGGGCCUGGGCUGGCCUACCUUCCUAGGAGAACUCCGGGGAGAGAGACACAAUGUUGAAAGGGAUGAAAUAUUGGCUCUGCAGUUAUUAUUUCUAUGUAUCUAUUUCCGAUACAUUUGUGCGGUAAUUACUCUGGGUUGUAUUUUGUUAGUUCAGGCAGUAAGUUAAGUGUAUCACCUUCGGGGAAAAAACCAAACUAAAAAAAACCCCUCCAAUAGGUGAGUCUGACCAGGUUUAUUCUAGAGCACCAUCUUUCAUUAUUAUAAAUUCCACUGAAAUAAUUACAGUCAUCUUCUACCCAACCCUCAUCCCCCAAGCCCAAGAACUUUGUUGGUUUUUUUUUUUUUUUAAAGCAAGUAUCUCUACCUCCACACAUCACUUUUCAGGUCAAAAAUAAAAUAAAAAAGAUAGGUUCCAGGUUAACAACAGCAAAACCUGAUGUUUAGAACAACAGCUGUUGUUCCAGUACCUGCCAGAAGUACCCCCAAUCUCUCCUGUCAUGUGGUUUGACUUGUUCUCCCUCUCAGGCAGUCUCACACUGCUGAGCUGCACAUGGCCCCUGUGCUGAGAAGCUCUGAGCAGGUACCUGAAGGUAAGCUCCAGAUAAAUACCAGACUUAGAUUACCCCAGUUUACUGUCAUUUGCCUUGAAGGGCUCUUAAACGUUUCAGUAAGUAUAAAAUUGCAACACUCUAACUGCUUACUCAUUAAGCAUCAGAAUAAACAGCUGCUUGUUUUAAUGGCUUUCUUCAGGCAGUUGCUACAGUUAUUUUGCCACAUGCUGUGGUCUGUGCUUAAAUAUUAUCAGAGGCUGGUUCUGCCAAAUACAGUCUGUUGCUGCCUGCAAGAUAAAAGCAUCUUUGAAAGCACUACCAGCCCUACAGCAGCUGUGUGGCAAUUAAAGAAAUGUGACAUAACUUUGGAGCCACGGAACUGGUGAAGCUUCCUCCAAUCACAAUUUUCUAGCUGAGUUUUGCCAGCAAACUGCUUAGACCUUGGAUUCCUCCCCAGAGAAUCCACUCAUAUCUGAGUAUGACAUUUUGCUUCACUUAUGUGUUUGCCUCAUCCUAGGAAGUGCCAGUUAGAUUUCACCAGUGCUGGAGACACAGCUGGACAUUUAAGGACAAGUUUCCAGAUUGUCCCAACAUCUAUUAUCAGGGCAAACAGAGAUGGAAAACCUUACAAAGAGAUUUUGAUACUGCGGGCAGCAGUCACAACAAACUGGCAAGCAAAUGGCAAUGCAUUGCUCUAUCCAGCAUGAAACAAAGACCGUGGAGAUGAAGUAAAACUGCCCACAAUUCUGUCCUUGCUCACAGAACAGCUCUCCAGGACCCAGCCCAUGAUGAGGACAGGUUUUUGUUUGUUUCUCUCAGUGAACCAAGGUGCAAGACCUGUCCUCUCAUGGCUGCAGAUUCUGUAUGGUCACUUCCACUUCAGCUUGGUGUUUAUGCUCACAGAAAUUCUCUGGAAAUGAGAACAGUUUUUCAGAGGUUCUUUGUUGCCUGUUUCUAUAUCAAGCUUGAGUGUCAGUUUCUGAUUUUAUGCCUCACUGUUAUUUAGGUUGCUGCUACACUGAUUGUUUCCUCUAGCAGUUCAAGAUGUAGGCUGUAAAGGAGCCCUCUCCAAUCACGUGUUCCAGAAAACCCCUAAAUCUACCAGGCUACCACAAAAGGGAGGUACCUGUUACUGUGGGGGAAGGACAUGCCAGUUGUGGGGAUUUUUGGUGUUGCUUUGUGCUUUUUUAUUUGUUUUAUUUUUGUUAGUGGGUUUUUCUGUUUGGUUUUGGUUUCAUGGGGUUUGUUUGGCUUUGGUUUUCUUUUUCUUCCACACGGUCCCACUUUCUCCCCCCUUCCCCUUGGCAUGAUUUUAUAUCUCUGGGGUUUGGAGAGAGUCAUCUCCUCAUUGCCUGUGAUCUUGUGGCCUUGUACAAAAUACCAGAUGAGGUGCAGAGCAGAGAAAUUGCUUUCUCAUCUCCCAGUUGCCAAAUCCGGUCAGGAUUUCAUGGAGGCACUCAGCAGAUCUACAUAAACCCAUACCCUGUGUGCAACCUUGCCACCCAAGGUGGGAAUACUGCUAAGAGAAACUCGAGUCCUCGGUGCCUGCAUUUCCCUGCCCUACCAGCACAGGCUCUUAGCAGGUGGCUGUGUCCAGGGAGAGAAAGAGGCAGCUUUGCAGGCUGGCACCAGGUGGUGUCACCUCACCAGAGGAAACACCCUGGGAAUGGAACGCGAGGCACUGCAUCAAACUGGGAGAAACAGCUGUCUGCCAAGCUCCACAGUACUCCUACAUCCAGGCUCCAGUUUCUCUCCCAGGAGAGCUGCUGCCAUGAACCUGUGCCCACCCUUGACCAUAGGAAGCCAGUUACAGAGCUAAUACCACACCAGGUAAGGACAGGGAUCAGGACUGCUGGGACUCCCAUGUGGACAUCAAACCAAAGCACAUAGAAACAAGGGAGGAGAAGGUUGUCUAGCCAUUUUCUCAAUGAAAGACUGCUUAGGUAACUUCCAUCAUCUUCUCAGCUCCACCCAGGCAGCACAGUUUCUCCUGGUUCUGGUGGUUUUCUAGCAAAGCUGGGUUACUUAGUCUGGCACUGCACACAGCCUGCUGUGCCAGGCACACCCUGAUGUGUCCCCAGAGUGCUGCUGGCAGCUCCUCUUGAACAAAAAGAACAGCAAGGCACCAGCCCUGAGUCUCAUUUCGGACACAUGGAGUCCUUAAAAGGGCCAGCUGGCACACAGCUGGGAAGCCCCUCACAGCAUUCCAGAAAAUAUUCCCAGCACAGGAGCUGGGAAAGACUUGCUGGGGCAGGUAGUCAUUUGGGCCAGAAAUUGCUGUCACAGGAUGACAUGUUCAUGGCCAUACUUGGCUGUGCAGGGCUUAAUCCACACCCUCCUGUUUUAGCAUGUGCCUUGCUCUGUGGGGUGGCCUUUCAAUUAAAUCAUGGCAUCCUUCCAGAGGCUUUUUAUUAAAAGCCAUCUCCACUAAGUUCCCUACAGACCAGGUCUGUAAAACAAUUACCUUCCCUUGUACCAAGGGCUCCUGUAUUUAACUCUGCACAAGAUUUAAUAAAACAAAAUAAGCCUCUUGAAAAAUAGGUGACUGGUCUGGCUUGCACCUUGACAAAAAUCCUUCCACACAGGGAACAGAUUAAAAGUAACCACUGUGUGGAAAUUGGCUGAAAUCUACAGACAACAGGUGGGGAGAUAGAUUAACACACUGCCUGCAUUUCCCAGGGGUUUUACUGAAGCCCUUAUGUUGUUACCCAGUGCCAAGGAUGGGUGUCAGGUGAGCACUCAGCACGCCUGUCCAAGCAGCAGUGGGAGCAGGGGAGCUGGGAUGUCCAGCUAGCCACCUGCUGGCCUGGCUGCGCAGAGAGCAGGCCCGGGGCACAGCAGGCCUCAUGAAGGCAGCUGCAGCACCGAAACAGAAACAGGUCACACCUCAGCAGUAAGACAAGCCACAAGCACAGUCAGGACAGCACGACACAGACAAUAAAACUAAACAAGCAGCACAGCACUUGGAGAAGAAGCCAAUGCCUGAGCCUAAGCAGGGCUGCUGGGCCAAUGGGCACCUAAGGGCACCUGGUGCCCUCAGUGCUCUGAGAGCUCUCCUUGUCGGUGUCCUCGUGCCAAUUCUUGUUUUACUUAUGAAUGGAAAUAUGGAGAUGUGAACUUGAAUCAAACCACCUGACCCGGAUGAGCACUUCCUGUAUCCUAACAGCAUGCUGCAAACCUCUGACGUGCCAUUCUCUAUGUUUCCUGUGCAAAGGCAGCCCCAAAACACAGCAGAUAUACUGCCCUAGCCCUGUAAUAUAGCCAUGCUUCAGGAAACAAACAGGGGUACCACCUGAGCUGCAGUCCAGAAGAAUGGAGUAAGAUUUGCCUCUAUGAUGUUUGUGAUGUUCUUUAAUGCCUGUCAAGUUUCCACUGUGUGGAGGCAGCCCUUGAUUUUUCAGUAAAAGAGAUGAAAAUGUCUUCAUGUAUCUUUAGAUCAUCAUUAAGCUGCUACAUUUAGCAAGAGAUUUUCCCAAAGUACCUCAGAGGAUUGGGAGAUUCAGUUUCUCUUGGUUUAACUGAAUACUCAAAUCCCCAGCCACCUUUGAAAAUUGUGUCUGAUCAUGCUUAGGUGACUCAGCCAAAGAAAUGGUAACACUUUCUGAAUUUAGGAAAAUAAAUUACUCUAUUCAAACCUCACUGGCAAUCCCCUGGGAUGGGAAAGGAAGCACAACCUCGUCUAAGUAUAAAAAGAGAAAAGGUCUAUGUAAAGAAUACCAAAAAGCUACAAAUGGCAGAGCACAGCAACACUAUAUUUCUCUUUAAAGUCCAAAAGUGUAAUGCAUUUCCAUAAAACUCAGACUUCAUUCAUGAACCUCCUCUUCAGAUUCCAUCUCAAAAACAGAGCAAAACCAUUUGUGGAGCUUCUCUUGUAUUUUCUUGCUUUAGACAUGCAGUGGGUGUUCUCGCUCUUUCAUCAGGGAAAGGAAGGUUUGUCUAAUAUCCCAAAUAAGAAAGCGAUCACAACAUCAACAAUUAAAAAUAAAACAGACACACGGUGUUCUGUUCCAAGAUUUACAGAAUGAAAAAGAAUAAAAAGAAUGUCUCCUUUCCUUUUCUGUCUUAAAAGCAAAAUGAAAGUGGCAGGGGUGAGAUUCCCCAGUGAAUGAGACAAAGCACCAGAAAGUUUUCAGCUGAAAGACAAAUUAGUGGAGAUUGGAACCACUUGACUUCUUGGGCUCAGAGAUCUCUGCCCUCAGAAGCAGCCAGCACAGCGUGGAUGGGUGUCCUUCUAGCUCCUGCAUUUAUCUGACUAGAACAUGUCAUGACCUCAAGCUUACCACAUUCUCACUUAGUAGGAGGGAGCACAAAUACCUCCCUGAGCAGGGGAACACCUUCCAGGGGGCUCCAGGAACUGCCUGCAGGUGAGUGGGGUUCUGUGCACCAUGCUGGCUGGGGGCGCCUCUCCUUUGGGCUCAGCAGCUUAGUGUGUCAACAGGCAGCAAGCCAUAACCAAGGUCUAACUUUUGCUGGGGAAAGACAUCUCUCUUAAACACCAACUGGGCACACUCAGGUUUUUCUGUUCUUUUGUGAAAGUUAGUGUGUACACACUUCCUCUAGGUCUUGUUGGCACACGGGCGCUGGACUGAAGCUGAGAGCUAUCUGAAGUGCCCAAAAUGCCUGUGCUGUCCUCUCUGGUCUCACUGGCUCCCCAGAAUCCCCUUCAGAUCUUUAGGACAUCUUAUGUCAUUUAGCACCAAACUGAUUCUGCCACCCCUUCUCUGUGAAGACUUGAGAUGACAGUCCCUGAGACACCUGUUUCUUCUGCUGUGCUAGAGCCUCAAUGUCCUUCUAAAGUAGUAAAAUGGAUCCGUGAAUUAUGGAAGAGGGAAGGGGAGGAGGUUAAGACAUCCAAGCGGCUCUAACCAGCUGGAACUAGAUCUUUCCUAGCUGGACAGUUAGAAUUUGUCAAACAGAAACAAUGCUCAACUGUUCGCCCUGUGAGUAAACAGGAGCAGAACAAAGCCUCAGCUGUAUGUGUGUGUGCUUGGGAACCUCCUUGCACUUACUUUGCUGGCUGUCCACGUGCUGGUCAGUGUGUGGCUUGUAUCUUUAAUCAAAGACAAAAGGAGAGGGAUGGGCAGGCAGUGACAGGCAAACAUAACCCUUGCACACACUGGGGGACCUGCAGUUUAUCUGUGCCAGUCCUAUGGUCUGUCUCUGGUGUAUCUGAAAGAUUUUGGUAUGCAUUUCCACACAUUCUUAAAAGCAGUGCUGGGAAAUAAGUUCACAUGAACCAGGACAAGCUACAAUUACCUCACAGAGCUCUAUAAACAAAUCAGCUGUAAGUGAGGCUCAUAAGCACAGCUAAUUUGGUUUCCUUACAUGGUCAUUAGGACUGCAUGGUGAGAGAGGGUGAAAUGAGCAGCUUUAUGUGUACCUUUAUGUGCACCUCAGCACUGGUCAUCUGCACCGUGUCACCUGGCACCCUGGCGAGUCACCAUGCUGCCCAAAUAGUCCGAAAUUCCCCUUCCAGUUUGUACAAGGGAACAUCUCAACUAUUUCUCUUCAGCUAGUAAGGCAUGGAGCUGGGAUUGCCGAUAGACAAUCCACUCCUGUGCUCUUGGAUCACAAGACAGCUCCUCUGUUCAGAUUGUGAAAGCUGGAAACAGAGAGGUUGAUGUUUUAUUUUCCAAUGUCCUUUUCAACUGUGGAGUCUCAGAAGAGUAACAAGAUGUAGCUCAUUUGUCACUGCUCCUAGUGAUGGGAAGGAAGAAUGAGGGGAAUGUGUCCCAUGGUGCCAGAGUGAAUUGGAAACAGAACAGUGAAGUUCUGGUGAAAUGAAAUAAAUUAGUCUAAUUAGUCUGCCCACUUAAGUAAUAUUAUUUUCUUUGUGUCAGUUUGUCUGUGUUAAAUGAUAUGGAGGAGAAGAGCUGAUGUGUGUCUGCUUAAGAGCAUUUGUAAAUCUCUGACAUCAGGGAGGGAAAAGAGGUGGGACGGUGAAGUAUUGGACAGAGGAAAGGAAUGCUGGAAUUAGAAAAAGAGGUAUUGGAGUGAUAGAGAUUGGACACUCAGUUUAAUUUGCUUGCAGACAGGGAAGGAUUUCUCAUCCAGGUAGAGACAGGAUGACGCUUUGGUCUGGAUGCAGCACUGUGAAUAACAGGCAAAGGAAUUGCCCUCCCCACAGGCCCAGGGACAGGCUGUGUCAUCAAGUCCCUGCAAAGAGCACGCUGAAAUCCCCGCUCAUUUCCUGUCUGCUUUCCAAGGUCCUCGAGGAAGUUGAAGUACUGUGUUCUCUAGUUACAGCCUGGCCACGCCGCUGUGUUGGAGCCUUUCAGCGCCGAGGUCUCUGUCACAACAGCAGUCUCCUCCUCAGCUGCCACCUUUCAGUUUGUUCUGACCACAGAAGAUGAUGCCAAAUGGCUGUAUAAACUGACCCUUGGCUCAGAGUACUUGGCAAACCAACGCUGGAACUGAUUAACCUUUAACUUCACUUAUCUGCUUAGCAGCCCAGGUCUCCACAGCAGACUUGGGAAGGUGAUGCUGUAUGGGCCCGUACUGAGUCUAUACUCAAAAAGUUUCCUUAGGGGUACGAGGGAAGUGCCUCAGGAAGGCUGAAGAACGAAUGGCUUCUUUCCUGAUGUGCAUGGGACUAACCCUGCCAAUAUCCAGAGAAGUUUCUGAGGCCCUAUAUGAUCAAGAAAAGUCUGGGAACAUUUAAAUAGCCAAGGGCAUGCUUUAAUGGACCACAGAAAGUUCCCACCCAAGUGAGACUAAAUGGAACUUGUGUACCCUAACCAGGCACACAAACUUAAUACCUUGGACCUCAGGAGACGCAACCAAGGUGCUCAUGCAGCAAAGGAGUGUUCUGCCCAGUGUACAUCACUAAUCCCCCUUUAGAUCAGCCUACCCUUCAAGGCACUCCCUUUUCCAGCCCGCGUGCCACAAGCCUGGAGUUGUGCAGAAUGGGGAUUUUGCUCAGUUAAUCACCGCAGAAAAACCAAAAAGCUUUUGAAAACUUUCAAAUUAAAAUAAGUAAUUGUGUCAGAACUGAGAAACCGAGCACUGCCAGGCUCUGUUAGUGCAGAGAGCAAGAGCAGGACAGGGGAGGAGGGGGACACGGAGAGACAGCACAAUGGCAGCCAGUGGCGAGUCCUCCUGUGGAGCAAGACCGUCUCCUGGCAACGUGUGGCAAUUGGUGGACGGAGCAAAAGGAGCCUGAAUGAGGCGCCAGGGUCCAUUUCAAGUGUUUUGGAGAAAUUUGCUAUUCACUUAUUGCAGACCUGCCUAGCUUAUUAAUAAUGCCCUCUUCUGCUGUAACCCCGGCUGCUACAGAAGCGCUGACAAGAUGGGUAUGCAGGGCACAGAUCUGCCCGUGGAAGAGCUGGGCACUGCUUUUUGCUUGGCCCUCUCUCGACCCAUUCCUUGGCGUUUUGUUGCCAAGCAUUUGGUUGCCAUGCCAACUUUUUAGCAUUAAAUCAUAAUCUAAGCACAGCAGGAGGCCAAAAGCCUUCUCAGGUCUAGCUCCUGUCCUCUCCCCUAUGACUGUACAACUGGUUGUGUAAGCAGGAUUAGCUGGAUGCUUUGAUGGCUUGUCAGCAACAGCCUGGAUGAAAACUUACCAACAGGGGAACGACAGUUCCCUUUGGAAACGGGUACAGAGGAGAAUAGGACUUAUGGCUGGGAGAUUUCUGCCUUCCCAGCUCUGCCACCUGUCUGAAACCAAGCCCUGUGUGUCACUCAGCUUGCACUGCUCCACUGGGACAAGGUGUUGGUGAGCUGAAAUAGGCUUUGUGCUUCAGGAUUGCUUUGCACUGCCUCGUUCCCCUCACAGUAGGACUGUUUCUGGGCUAUUAAAGACAUACUUCAGACUGUCAGAACUGAGGUAUUAAAACUAGAAAUAUGCUGUUGAUAAUAACGUGCAUUAGCUCCUUAAAAUGGUGAAAUACGUUGAGUGCACAGAUGAUGUGUAUUAUCCUCCCAUAAUAGGUCAAAAACAAGGUAUAUACAAAUGCUGAAAUGGCUCAAAAUAAAGAAUAUGAGAAGUAAGGCUGUGUUUUGCAGAGAAGAGACAAGGCCUGAGCUCUCCCUCCCAACUGCUUAAACUGUUUUGCAGCAGAAAGAUUUUUGUUUGUCCCUUCAGUGAAGCUGAAUACCCGCAGCUUGCAAAUUUUCAUUGCAUGAAAACACAGGUCAGAAAAAUGGAAACAGAGGUUUAGAUCAGCUUUGUCAGGAGAAGUAAUUUGACUGAUCCUGCCUAAGCCUUAGGAUUCUCAUCUGGGGUGUCAAGCAUCACUGGGGAACACUGCAUACCAAGUCUAUAUUCUUUAAAUACUUCAAAUCUGACCCUUAAUAUUGGUGGAGGUUUUUCCUAAUGUCAAAAACAAAUGGAAAACUUCUCUUUGUCUCUUCUCUGGCACUUCAUACACUGGUGUGAAGAGCAUCCCAACAACACAUUAGGUUUUAAAUCUUGCUGUAGAGAUUCCUGUUACUCAAAUAUGGCUUGGGCUGUUCUUUACUUGCAGCAUGGGGUGAAAGAGCAGCUCUGCUUGCUGUUUCCCUGUAUGCUCCCAUGCAGUUCAACAAAAAUCAGCAUGAACUCCAGUUGACUCCUUCCUCUGGAGCUUCCCAUGGUUUUGAUAGUGGAUACUUAGGGAGGGGUGCAUGGAAAUGUGCAACAAAACACACAGUUUGUUUCCAGCCCCAGAGAGUAAAGCCCACGCUUGACCAUAAACCUCCCCAGAACUAGAGCUGUGGCUUGGAAAUUGCCUUAGGAUCUUCUGAAGUACCGAGAGCCCAAAAUCCAAUUAAAACAGGUAUUUCUACAGCAACACACGUUACUUUGAGUCUCCUAAGAAAGGAAUGAUUUGUUAUGCCUCUCUUUUCUCUUAUAUGUGACACUCUUGGAACUUUCUAGCUGUAAGGCUUACAAGAAUCUUGAUGGUUGUCACAUACCUCAGGUAAUUCAGGAGGGAGACUCCUAGAUGAUUUCCAUGUCCAAGGUAAAAGGUAUCUGCCUCCCAGGGAAUGGGCCUUUAGUUGGAAGGCAGUCAGCUAUGUUACCUGGAGUGACUGAUACUGCUUUCUCUCUCUGGCAGUAGACGGUCUCACACAGCUUUCACUUCAGUUUCUGGAGGAUUUUGUGCUUUCCAGAGGAAAAACUGCCCUUUGUUAGGUCAGCUAAAGACUGUAAACUAGAGGUUCCACAGGUUGGUAUUAUUGACUCUACACACCACAAAUCUCAUCCUGUUUGAUCUGUUCCUUGUUUGAAAUAGCUGCUCUGGGAAUCUUACAAUUAAGGGAGAGUUUUCUGGGGAAUUUUAAAUAUUCUCUUACAUGACAGCAAAGAGAAGCUGAAGAAGUGAAUCCUAGAAGUGCAAAAUUUGUUAAGCUAAGACAUUUCUGCUUAAAAAAUAGAAAAAACACUGUGUUUUGGGAUCGAGCUGGGACUCACUGUCUUAAUCACAACUGAAUACAGAGUGUGCUCAUUUUAAGUACAUUUGAGCCAUUGAUGUGAGGUUGUGGGCAUCUUGGAAUGGGAGGAGUAGGCUGAUGGUGUAAUGCUGACUGAAUUCUCCCAUAUGACCUGCCAUUUGCCCUCAGAUCAGCAAGGAUGUAGGAAUCAGCACUUGAGAGCAGAGAGAGGGCAAACUCUGCCUUUAGGACAAUUAAGUUCAGCUAGGCAGUAUAAUCAAGGCUUUGGAUGUAGUGUAAGGGAUGUUGUGUUUUUGUUUUGUUUUUUUUUAAAUAAGAGGUUGCUCCUAAAGUAGUUACAUAACACUUGAUAAAGAAGUCACCAGAGUAUUGUACAUUUACCCAUCUGCUGGUUGUAACAUUUCUGUUCUGCUAGUCCUGAAUGCAGAAAAUGUUGUCCAUCCCUUGGGAACACUUGAGCAUCCCAAAUUACUUGGCUGAGGCUGGGCUCAGAGCUGAGUUACUGCUCUGUGACCGUGCCCUGUGCUGUCCCACAGCUGAUUCCAGAUGUCCCUUGAAGAGAAGGAUUUCAAUGCCAUUUCCAAGCUGAUGGGCAGCUGGGGUGGUCAAAACAAGCCUUAGACCCUAUCAUGUUCCUUAUCCACAGUGGUAGCUUCAUACUGUGCUUUAUUGAAUAGUUCCUCACAAAGCUUAUUUUAGUCAGGCAGUUGUUAGAAGAUUUGAAAUGCAGUCCUAGAACUAGAAGAGAAUGUUUUUUAAGAAAGUGGGAGGACACACCCAUGUGGAACUGCUCUCUAUGUAUCCCUCAAGCAAACCUCAGCAGCUGACAAGCACAAAGUUUUCUUUCAUUUUCUUUUAACUGUCAGGUCUGAAAUGUGGAAACUGGCAUUUCAGCUAGCUUUGCUCACACGCAUCCUGAAAACAAAAAAAAAUCUUUCUGAAUUAAUUAGCAUCUCUCACAGCUGAGAUGACAGUGGAAUAAAAUUCUGUAUGCUGUUGAGUAACAGCACCACAACCCAUUCUUUGACAAUGGGAGAUGUAAAGUCUCACUCCUAUUACUGUGUUUCUUGUUUGGCUCCACGAGUAGGGAAGCAGGAGACUCCUUUUGAUUAGUCAGUGGCUCUGAACACCCACAGCAAAGAAAAAAAAACAAACAUAACUUCAUACACAGACUCUGCAGGAUGAAACUUCCACUCAAAAUUGCACAGAGAACUUAGGCAAUCAUUUGUUUGGAAGCAGGUGUUAGUUAGACUAAAGCUAAAGUUCACGGCCUGAAUAGCUCUUUAAGAAGUUAUGCACAUUACAACAUGAUAUGAACAGCUGACGUGUUUCUGACCAUGGCUGAACUCUUUUGCCUCCCACAUGUCAUAGUUCAAGGAGUUAUUUCUGAUAAAAUAGUUGCUCUAACUUAAAACUGGUUUCCAAAA